rnacentral:rRNA from 1 species
UACGGAGGGGGCUAGCGUUGUUCGGAAUCACUGGGCGUAAAGCGCACGUAGGCGGAUUUUUAAGUCAGGGGUGAAAUCCCGAGGCUCAACCUCGGAACUGCCUUUGAUACUGGAGAUCUUGAGUCCGGAAGAGGUAAGUGGAACUGCGAGUGUAGAGGUGAAAUUCGUAGAUAUUCGCAAGAACACCAGUGGCGAAGGCGGCUUACUGGUCCGGAACUGACGCUGAGGUGCGAAAGCGUGGGGAGCAAACAGG